AGGAUUCCUUCACGGGCUUAGGAAGAUUAUAAAAAAUGAAGGAAUUGGCGGAAUUUAUAAAGGAGUAGCCCCAACAGUUUUGAAGCAGGCCAGCAAUCAGGGCAUUCGCUUUUUAGUAUACGAUAACGUUAAAAAUUAUCUUUGCAAGUUUGAAAUGAAUUCAAUAGCCACGAAUGCUAUUUCGGGGCUGAUUGCUGGUGCUUGCAGUGUUUAUGGAAACACUCCUAUUGAUGUAGUUAA